rnacentral:lncRNA from 1 species
AUCUAAACAAAUUUUAAUCUCAAAUUUGAGUGCCAUGGGUGUUUAAUUAAUUUUGAAAAUAGGAAACUUAAAAAAAAACUUCAAGCAAAAAAAAAAAAAUAUCUUUUCAUAAAAUUAAAAUUAAAUUUUAAUAAAAUAAAAUUAGGUAGGUGGGUUGGUAGGCCAACCUAACCUACUACGGGUUCAACCCGCAUGAACCGGAUUUAAAUCUGACUCACAUAAAAGAAAUACAAUUUUUUCAAAUCCAACCCGGCCUGAACCCGUGGUGAGCCAGGUUGACCCGC